GAUGAACGCUGGCGGCGUGCCUAAUACAUGCAAGUCGAGCGAACGGACGAGAAGCUUGCUUCUCUGAUGUUAGCGGCGGACGGGUGAGUAACACGUGGAUAAUCUACCUAUAAGACUGGGAUAACUUCGGGAAACCGGAGCUAAUACCGGAUAAUAUUUUGAACCGCAUGGUUCAAAAGUAAAAGACGGUCUUGCUGUCACUUAUAGAUGGAUCCGCGCUGCAUUAGCUAGUUGGUAAGGUAACGGCUUACCAAGGCAACGAUGCAUAGCCGACCUGAGAGGGUGAUCGGCCACACUGGAACUGAGACACGGUCCAGACUCCUACGGGAGGCAGCAGUAGGGAAUCUUCCGCAAUGGGCGAAAGCCUGACGGAGCAACGCCGCGUGAGUGAUGAAGGUCUUCGGAUCGUNAAACUCUGUUAUUAGGGAAGAACAUAUGUGUAAGUAACUGUGCACAUCUUGACGGUACCCUAUCAGAAAGCCACGGCUAACUACGUGCCAGCAGCCGCGGGUAUACGUANGUGGCAAGCGUUAUCCGGAAUUANUUGGGCGUAAGCGCGCGUAGCGGUUUUUUAGUCUGAUGUGAAAGCCCACGGCUCAUCCGUGGAGGGUCAUUGGAAACUGGAAAACUUGAGUGCAGAAGAGGAAAGUGGAAUUCCAUGUGUAGCGGUGAAAUGCGCAGAGAUAUGGAGGAACACCAGUGGCGAAGGCGACUUUCUGGUCUGUAACUGACGCUGAUGUGCGAAAGCGUGGGGAUCAAACAGGAUUAGAUACCCUGGUAGUCCACGCCGUAAACGAUGAGUGCUAAGUGUUAGGGGGUUUCCGCCCCUUAGUGCUGCAGCUAACGCAUUAAGCACUCCGCCUGGGGAGUACGACCGCAAGGUUGAAACUCAAAGGAAUUGACGGGGACCCGCACAAGCGGUGGAGCAUGUGGUUUAAUUCGAAGCAACGCGAAGAACCUUACCAAAUCUUGACAUCCUUUGACAACUCUAGAGAUAGAGCCUUCCCCUUCGGGGGACAAAGUGACAGGUGGUGCAUGGUUGUCGUCAGCUCGUGUCGUGAGAUGUUGGGUUAAGUCCCGCAACGAGCGCAACCCUUAAGCUUAGUUGCCAUCAUUAAGUUGGGCACUCUAAGUUGACUGCCGGUGACAAACCGGAGGAAGGUGGGGAUGACGUCAAAUCAUCAUGCCCCUUAUGAUUUGGGCUACACACGUGCUACAAUGGACAAUACAAAGGGCAGCGAAACCGCGAGGUCAAGCAAAUCCCAUAAAGUUGUUCUCAGUUCGGAUUGUAGUCUGCAACUCGACUACAUGAAGCUGGAAUCGCUAGUAAUCGUAGAUCAGCAUGCUACGGUGAAUACGUUCCCGGGUCU
rnacentral:rRNA from 1 species